rnacentral:rRNA from 1 species
AGCGAACGCUGGCGGCAGGCUUAACACAUGCAAGUUGAACGCGUGUAGCAAUACACGAGUAGCGCACGGGUGCGUAACGCGUGGGAACCUUCCUCGUAGUUCGGAAUAACUCAGGGAAACUUGAGCUAAUACCGAAUGCCUCCUCCGGGAGAAAGAUUUAUCGCUACGAGAUGGGCCCGCGUCAGAUUAGGUAGUUGGUAGGGUAACGGCCUACCAAGCCGACGAUCUGUAGCUGGUCUGAGAGGAUGAUCAGCCACACUGGGACUGAGACACGGCCCAGACUCCUACGGGAGGCAGCAGUGGGGAAUAUUGGACAAUGGGGGCAACCCUGAUCCAGCCAUGCCGCGUGAGUGAAGAAGGCCUUCGGGUUGUAAAGCUCUUUCGACGGGGACGAUGAUGACGGUACCCGUAUAAGAAGCCCCGGCUAACUUCGUGCCAGCCGCCGCGGUAACAC